rfam:Providencia burhodogranariea DSM 19968 genomic scaffold scaffold00001, whole genome shotgun sequence.
UAUAACUAAGAAUGAAAGUAUUAGAAGUCAGUGCAAACGCAACAGUUUUGUAUUUUUACAGGUCUGUUGCGUGUGCUUUUUUGUCAAUCAGAGAAAUGGUUGGACGCGCAUGAAUCCCUCUUUACUUGAGCAAUUACAACGCAAAAUUGGUUAUAAGUUUAAUC